GGAGAAGAAGACAAAAGGCGGUGAGGAGGAGCAACAAGAAGUCGUAAUGUAUGAAGAACCUGCAGCAGACUCAGGCACAUGGCAGAUGCUGGAGAAGUGGCAGCUACUGUUGUUUUCAGGGUUUGAGUCUUAAUUAGAAGCUGAAGGAAUGGGGUUCUGUGUCCACACAGGGGAUGUAGCAGGCUGAGAGCUCACAGCUGGUUACGGAGCUGAGAUAAGAAUGCAGCAGCCCUAGGCCUCUGAAUUAUUGGGGGCUCAUCUGCAUCAAAUCUGCAUUGAACUCACACAUGCCCUGUUCCUGCUGGACCAAGCAUCCAGGACCCGCUACAGAACAAGGUGAGGAAGAGAGCACUGGGCAGGGAGUCCGGAGGUCUGGAUUUGAGACACUGCUGUGCUAUUUUGCUCUGUAUCCUCAAGCACAUCAUGGCCCUUUUCUGGCCUACAGCUUCUUCAUCAGGAAAAGAGAGGGUGAUCUGGUGAGAGAUAAGCUUUCAGGUGUGGUAGUUCGAGACCAGGAGGCCCAGAAAUGAAGACGGCAGGGGGGUCUCUUUUCAGCCUAAAAGAGGAUACCUCAGCACAGCAGUGACUUACCCCAGGCCUUGGGGCGCUCAGACCACCAAAGUCCUCCCCUGGAAUGAGCUUGGGAUGGAUUUAACAUCAGGGGCCACUAGGAUGUGGCCUCUCCCCAGGGGCUUAGAAGUCCCGUGGCCCCAGCCUGCCCCGCUCCCUCAUCUUCCCCUCCUCAUACUUCCCAAUCUAGCCCCACCUCAACUGCCGGUGGGUCCUCAUAUACUCCAUGCUUUUUAUACCAUCAUACCUUGCCCAAGCUGUCUUUAGUCUGAAAGCCCCUUCCCCCACCUCUCACCUUCUUUCCAUUACACACUGGGCUUAAGUAUCACCUCCAGUCUUGAUCAGUAGCCUCUCCUGAGCUCCUACAAUCCCCUGAAUGUCCUUCUAGGGCAGAGGUUGGCAAACUUUUUCUGUGAAGGGCCAGAUAGUAGCUAUUUAGGCUUUGAGGGCCAAAUGGUCUCGGUCACACCACUCAAUCCUGCCACUAUGGGGCAGAAGCAGUCAGAGACAUUAGAUAAAUGAGUGAGCAUGGUUAUGUUUCAAUAAAACUUUAUUUACAAAAAACUGGUGACAGGCCAGGCCUGUGGCCUGUAUUUUGAUGACCUCUGCUCUAGAUCAUCACUGAUUGCGAGUCCAACAUGGUUUGCUUUCUUCCCUGUCCCUGCAGCACAGAGACUGUCAAAUUCAGCAAGAAUCCAGCUUGGGGUAGGUCUCAGUGCGGGACACUGAGCUAAAUGCGAGCACAGCCCCCCAGCCUCUGCUCCAUACUUACAGUUCUG
rnacentral:lncRNA from 10 species